rnacentral:rRNA from 1 species
GACGAACGCUGGCGGCGUGCCUAAUACAUGCAAGUAGAACGCUGAAGGAGGAGCUUGCUCUUCUGGACGAGUUGCGAACGGGUGAGUAACGCGUAGGUAACCUGCCUGGUAGCGGGGGAUAACUAUUGGAAACGAUAGCUAAUACCGCAUAACAGUAGAUGUUGCAUGACAUUUGCUUAAAAGGUGCAAUUGCACCACUACCAGAUGGACCUGCGUUGUAUUAGCUAGUUGGUGGGGUAACGGCUCACCAAGGCGACGAUACAUAGCCGACCUGAGAGGGGGAUCGGCCACACUGGGACUGAGACACGGCCCAGACUCCUACGGGAGGCAGCAGUAGGGAAUCUUCGGCAAUGGACGGAAGUCUGACCGAGCAACGCCGCGUGAGUGAAGAAGGUUUUCGGAUCGUAAAGCUCGGUUGUAAGAGAAGAACGAGUGUGAGAGUGGAAAGUUCACACUGUGACGGUAUCUUACCAGAAAGGGACGGCUAACUACGUG